rnacentral:rRNA from 1 species
UACGUAGGGGGCAAGCGUUUGUCCGGAUUUAUUGGGCGUAAAGAGCUUGUAGGCGGUUUGUCGCGUCUGCUGUGAAAUUUCGGGGCUCAACCCCGAACUUGCAGUGGGUACGGGCAGACUAGAGUGUGGUAGGGGAGACUGGAAUUCCUGGUGUAGCGGUGAAAUGCGCAGAUAUCAGGAGGAACACCGGUGGCGAAGGCGGGUCUCUGGGCCGAUACUGACGCUGAGGAGCGAAAGCGUGGGGGAGCGAACAGG